UCUCAGCUUAUUUUGCGCAGCUUAGGUGGGAGACGUUGAACUCCUUUUUCCGGAAAGGAGGGAGUCAUCAGUGAGAUACCACUCUUGGUAAGCUAGAGCGCUCAUUUCUAACCGUUAUCCGGUAGAAAGACAGUUUCAGGCGGGCAGUUUGGCUGGGGCAGUCACCUCCCAAAAGGUAAUGGAGGUGUACAAAGGUUCGCUCAGGCUGGACGGAAAUCAGCCAUAGAGUGUAAAAGCAUAAGCGAGCUUGACUGCGAGACUGACAUGUCAAGCAGAGACGAAAGUCGGUUUUAGUGAUCCGACGGUGCUGAGUGGAAAGGCCGUCGCUCAACGGAUAAAAGUUACUCUAGGGAUAAC
rnacentral:rRNA from 1 species